ACCUGGACUAAGCCCAGGAACAUAGUACCACAGAGCUGAUGGGCCAUGUGCUUACUGAAGACAAGAUGUUUCCUUGCAUACUGUGCUAACUUUUGCUUUUUGUGAUCCCUGCUUGGGGAGCUCUAGAAUAAGAGUCAGGGACCUCCGACUUUGCCAGCCAACAGCAA
rnacentral:ribozyme from 2 species